AUGCAGUCGAGCGGUAACGAUUCUAGCUUGCUAGAAGGCGUCGAGCGGCGGACGGGUGAGUAAUGCAUGGGAAUCUGCCCGAUAGUGGGGGACAACCUGGGGAAACUCAGGCUAAAACCGCAUACGUCCUACGGGAGAAAGCAGGGGAUCUUCGGACCUUGCGCUAUCGGAUGAGCCCAUGUCGGAUUAGCUUGUUGGUGAGGUAACGGCUCACCAAGGCGACGAUCCGUAGCUGGUCUGAGAGGAUGAUCAGCCACACUGGGACUGAGACACGGCCCAGACACGGGAGGCAGCAGUGGGGAAUAUUGGACAAUGGGCGAAAGCCUGAUCCAGCCAUGCCGCGUGUGUGAAGAAGGCCUUCGGGUUGUAAAGCACUUUCAGCGAGGAAGAACGCUUCGGGAUUAAUACUCCCGAGGAAAGACAUCACUCGCAGAAGAAGCACCGGCUAACUCCGUGCCAGCAGCCGCGGUAAUACGGAGGGUGCAAGCGUUAAUCGGAAUUACUGGGCGUAAAGCGCGCGUAGGUGGCUAAGUCAGCCAGGUGUGAAAGCCCCGGGCUCAACCUGGGAACGGCAUCUGGGAACUGCUUGGGCUAGAGUGCAGGAGAGGAAAGGUAGAAUUCCCCGGUGUAGCGGUGAAAUGCGUAGAGAUCGGGAGGAAUACCAGUGGCGAAGGCGGCCUUCUGGACUGACACUGACACUGAGGUGCGAAAGCGUGGGUAGCAAACAGGAUUAGAUACCCUGGUAGUCCACGCCGUAAACGAUGUCAACUAGCCGUUGGGUCCCUUGAGGACUUAGUGGCGCAGCUAACGCAAUAAGUUGACCGCCUGGGGAGUACGGCCGCAAGGUUAAAACUCAAAUGAAUUGACGGGGGCCCGCACAAGCGGUGGAGCAUGUGGUUUAAUUCGAUGCAACGCGAAGAACCUUACCUACCCUUGACAUCCAGAGGACUUUCCAGAGAUGGAUUGGUGCCUUCGGGAACUCUGAGACAGGUGCUGCAUGGCUGUCGUCAGCUCGUGUUGUGAAAUGUUGGGUUAAGUCCCGUAACGAGCGCAACCCCUAUCCUUAUUUGCCAGCGAGUAAUGUCGGGAACUCUAAGGAGACUGCCGGUGACAAACCCGAGGAAGGUGGGGACGACGUCAAGUCAUCAUGGCCCUUACGGGUAGGGCUACACACGUGCUACAAUGGCAAGUACAAAGGGUUGCAAUACGGCGACGUGGAGCCAAUCCCAUAAAGCUUGCCUCAGUCCGGAUUGGAGUCUGCAACUCGACUCCAUGAAGUCGGAAUCGCUAGUAAUCGUGGAUCAGAAUGCCACGGUGAAUACGUUCCCGGGCCUUGUACACACCGCCCGUCACACCAUGGGAGUGGACUGCACCAGAAGUGGUUAGCCUAACCUUCGGGAGGG
rnacentral:rRNA from 1 species